AUUGAACGCUGGCGGCAGGCUUAACACAUGCAAGUCGAGCGGGGGAAGGUAGCUUGCUACCGGACCUAGCGGCGGACGGGUGAGUAAUGCUUAGGAAUCUGCCUAUUAGUGGGGGACAACAUCUCGAAAGGGAUGCUAAUACCGCACACGUCCUACGGGAGAAAGCAGGGGAUCUUCGGACCUUGCGCUAAUAGAUGAGCCUAAGUCGGAUUAGCUAGUUGGGGGGGUAAAGGCCUACCAAGGCGACGAUCGGUAGCGGGUCUGGGAGGAUGAUCCGCCACACUGGGACUGAGACACGGCCCAGACUCCUACGGGAGGCAGCAGUGGGGAAUAUUGGACAAUGGGGGGAACCCUGAUCCAGCCAUGCCGCGUGUGUGAAGAAGGCCUUAUGGUUGUAAAGCACUUUAAGCGAGGAGGAGGCUACUCUAGUUAAUACCUAGGGAUAGUGGACGUUACUCGCAGAAUAAGCACCGGCUAACUCUGUGCCAGCAGCCGCCGUAA
rnacentral:rRNA from 1 species